rnacentral:rRNA from 1 species
GAUGAACGUUGGCGGUGUGCCUAAUACAUGCAAGUCGAACGGUGGUUAUUUUGUAGUAAUACGAAGUGAUCAUAGUGGCGAACGGGUGAGUAACGCGUUGGUGAUCUGCCUCGAAGUGUGGAAUAACGUUCCGAAAGGAACGCUAAUACCGCAUGUGCUCUCGAUUUUAGAAAGUUGAGAGUAAAGGAUUUAUUCGCUUCGAGAGGAGCCUGCGUCCCAUCAGCUAGUUGGUAGGGUAAUAGCCUACCAAGGCUUUGACGGGUAGGGGACCUGAGAGGGUCGGCCCCCCACAAUGGAACUGAAACACGGUCCAUACACCUACGGGUGGCAGCAGUAGGGAAUAUUAGAAAUGGACGAAAGUCUGAUCUAGCGACACCGCGUGUGCGAUGAAGGCCUUCGGGUUGUAAAGCACUUUUUGGAAGGAAUAGGAAGGAAGGUACUUCCAGAAUAAGUCUCGGCUAACUACGUG